GCGCGCGGUACUUAUAUGGCAGUAUGUGUGCGAGUGAUGCCGAGGUUGUGAGUUCGAGCCUCACCUGGAGCAUUGUUUUCCAACCCAAAAUAGCAUUACUUGAAGUGCCUUUCCCCCUGUAAUCCGACUCCAUCGUCUUUAACGUGUUUGGAAUUGUGUACACAGUUUAUUGUUAUUGGUUUCCUUAGCCUUUUUAGAACCAAGCAACGCCAAUUACCAACAAAAUCCGUUGCGCCGCAGUGAGUUAGCUACCUUCUAUCUCCACUUUGUUCUGCACGUCGAUCUCAGGAGAAGCCAGCUCCCAUGUUAAGAAGUUCAAAUACCUAGAGACUGCGAUGGUUUGCAGAGGCUCAAGCUAACCACAUGGAAAGACAUGGAGAGAUAUUCCUUGCCAACCCUCAACUACUCCAACUAUUCUAAGACAUCAAACCUAAAGGAGAUGGAUCAAUAAUUGUACAAGCAUGAAGACAAAUGCCAUAUCACAGCAAUGGUGAAAAGAAAGCCUAGAAGAAAUUUGUCUUCCCAACUUUUUUGGAACCCCUGAAUCAGAUUGACUGCCUCGAAAUAGACUUCUUUUUAAACACACAAAAAAAGUAAUCUCAUUUUUAACAGCCAUAAGAAUAUACCUUGUGGACCAUAAAUACUGUAAAAUUAUUUGACCAGGGCCCCUAGCUGUUCUAUUCCCAAGUGCUUUGUUGUGUUUUUGCUGUGGCUCAGUAUCCCAUGAACUGUUUCCAGCUAAUAACUGAGUGCAUAAGGGAUACUAAGACAGACAAAGUUUCUGGGAGACUAAGGACUCCUCCGACAGCUGAAUUUAGUGUCAGGCCUUCCUUGCUUAACUCAACUUACACUGCAAGGUGGCCUAGGUUGCUUCCAUCCAAACUUCUUCCCUCUAUCCUUGCACUGUGGUCUGAUGAUUCUCUCAGCUGACAUUUUCUCUGACAGGUAUUUCCCCUAAUAACACUUAAUUUUGUCUUGAUGUCUGGUUCUGGGAGGACCCAGCUUAGCACACUAUUUUUAUAAGACACUGCUAAUUUAUGCAGGACAAACUUUUUGCUGGGCAAAGACAAAAAAAUCACCAAAUAAUAUACUGUCAUGUUCACGAC
rnacentral:lncRNA from 1 species